rnacentral:pre_miRNA from 1 species
GGCACAAAUUUGGAGUAGAACGGAUUAGUAGGAUCGGCUAACCCUACUGAACUACUCCAAGUUUGUGCCC